rnacentral:lncRNA from 1 species
GCAAACAUAAUUCACAUUUCACUUCUUUGAAAAUUAUAAUAAUAUUAACAUCGAAUCUUUUUCUUUUGAAAAUAUUUUCUUUUACAUCAUAAACAAUGGUUUUCUUAUACAAAACUAAAUAAGUAAGCAUAUCCCUUUUCCCAUGCCACUACCAGAGCGGUGCUUUUCCCCAAAAUAACGGUGUGUACUUGACUCCAAGAUUCAUAAACCUAUAGAACUACGGUUUCAUAACAGCAGGGCCAAGCCAGCAAACACAAACAACGAAGGGGUGAGUUUCGAGAACAUGUAAUAGUAUAAAAUAAUGAGAAGAACAUGUAAGCAAUUAAGUCAAAGUCAUAUCACAUCACAAACAUAAUAUUGAAAACUUGAAGAAUAUACUAGAUCAACUCAAUCCACGUUAGUAAAAAAAAGAAUAUCAUUACAACAUAAGAACCAAGAUCUUCACAAACACAAUGUCAAAAUUUAAUUCCAAAAUAGUCACAACACAUAUAGUCACCAAUAACCAUCUUCAUAAGAACAUCGACAUACAAUCACCUUUAUCGUCUCACGCAGUUACACUUAUUCACCAAAUACAAAUCAUCAUCAAUUUUUAUGCAUAUUUACUCAAUCCUAAGACCUAUAUGAAUGUGGUACCACACCUACUCAUCGUUUUGCCAGAGUUAUAUUACUGGACUUUUCUCAACAUAGUUGCCAGAGAUAUGUUACUGGACUUUUCUCAACAUAGUUGUCAGAAGUAUGUUACUGGACUUUUCUCAACAUAGUUGUCAGAAGUAUGUUACUGGAAUUUUCUCCCACAUAUGCAAGACUUAUGCUCUAGACUCUAUAUGAACGCAAGGAAUUAAAUUCGACAAGUAUUACACAUAUACACAUAGUCACAUAUUCCACCUAUGAAUGCAAGACUCCCCCUAAAAUGCACGACUCUAAUCACCACUCACAUCAUCAUCAUAAAAAACAUCGGCAUCAUGAAAAUACAUUGUCAUUCACACCACAAAUUUUAAUCGACAUCAUUAUUCUCAUCAUCAAACUAUUUUAAGCCUCAUCAUUUACUUAGAAAAACAAACAGAUUGAUGACUCUUGACAACAAUAUAGAAGUGGAUUUAUUCAAAAAAAAAUAAUAUAAAAUCUAAGACAUUUUUAAUACUUCUUAGAAUACCACUAUAGCCAAUUUCAUACAGAAGCGGAACACAACAUUUUGCAAGAAACAGUAGACACAAUCCUUACACUCACAAAUUAGCCCAUAAUUAGUUUCUAUAGCACCAAAUUGGCAGAAGCAAAACAAUUAUCUACCAAACAUCAACUAUUUUGUACUAGUUAUUCAAUCAAUAAAUAUACAUAAUUUAUCAAUUCAAAUCGUUGUGGAAAAUCAAACAUGAGCGUAUGCACAAAAUUUAUCAUUGACAUCAAAUACCAUUCACAUAAUUUUAAUCAAGCAAUAUCCUAAUAAUGUUUCUAAUUCAUCUUUUAACCUCGCACUUCUAAAUUUGCACAUUAAUUUAAUCAUUCUCUCCAAGGGCUACAACCGUCGCGGUGAACCCCAAACGAACUUUGGGAAAUACGACUUUCCCGUUCAUCUCAGUUAAUUUACAUUCAUGAUCUCAAACUCUUCUCUCUCACCCCAUACCUGAAUUGAAGCUUUCACAAUAGACAUCGAACUCAAGGACAGCAACAAAUCUAAACAGUUUAACAAUUGUGUCUUCUUUUCUCCAGCCUAGCGACUUGUGAAAGAAAGUAGCUUAAUUGAUCCUUUUCCUCAAAGCUAGCAUCCUAUCUCUAUGAGGUCUUCUCUCUUUGCAAUACGAUGAUGUUUUACCAAAGACCUUUCUCCCUCUCUCUCUCUUAUGUCUAGGGUUUCCUUUAUUUGUACAUAUUGUCAUCGCCGAUCUCUAUUGGCUAUUAAGUUAGCGACUUAUGGUAUAUAAAUAUAUAUACAUAUAUACAAGUGGCAUGCUUACUAGUAUUUACGGCCUUGAGAAGGGGAUGGGUUGUUGGAUCAUAUACAUACAUAUGCUAAUGGAUCAAGCUUCUUAGAUUAAGGUGUGCGUUGGAAUAAGUUAAGUGUGUAGGUACAUAAAGGUAUAUUAGGAUAUAAACACUAGC